CUGCUUCUGCCGCCCGAUCUGGCUGACUUUGCCAAGUCAUCUUUUAAAAAAAAGGAAGUGAAGGAUGAUUAAGAGGGUCACGCCCUCUGCCCCUCUAAGCUUCUAACUAGUUUCUUUCCUUCCCCGUCUCCUGUGCAGCACACCUGCUCAGGUGAGACUUUAAGAACAAAUAAUUCUUGUGAACCCACGCAGUCUAGUGUGUAAGCUGUAGCUUCAGGAAAGCAAGCAUUACUUGGGGAGAGGGGUGGCAUAGAAGUUCUGCAUCGUAAUUAACUCAAAACAGGUAUCUCCUGACAUGACUAAUAAACUAUCCAUCGUGAUUGUUUCAUUGAAGUUUUUUGUUUUGUUUUGUUUUGUUUUGUUUUUGUAAUAGACCUGACUUACCGAGGUGCUUCCUGAUAAGAGUUGUUUUUCAUGAUCAGGAGAAACCCUGCCUAGGUGAAGGUGGGUAGUGCAAACCAGUAAGAAGAGCGAUCCUAGAUCAGGAUCACAGCUCCCAUUUAUCUAGCAUUUCUAUGCCAGUACUGUUGGUCAGGAAUUUACAAGUAUUUUGGCAUCUGGAGUUUUCUGUGAGGCAUACGGUUUUCUUAUCUACAGUUGAAAGAUGCAUGGGAACAGAGGCUUCCUUAAGUAACAGAGCUAAGUUCACAUGGCUGAACUUGGAUAAAAACCGCCUGCAGUCUGGCUUCAAAGACUGCUUGGAAUCCUGUGUGUAAGAGAACCCUGUGAAUAAUAGAGUAUAGCAGUAGACUAGGGAAAUGACCUGAGGUUGUGGGUAUGCCCUUAACCCUCUGGGGAACCUCAGAAAGGUGUCUGGAGUUUGUGGUUCCUGUACUGACAUCAGGACAUGAACUUCAGAUUCUGUCGUGGUGCUAACAGUGAGAAGAAGCGGAGAGAAAGGAGCGAGACAGGGACUGUCUGUGCUUUAAAGGGUACAGGGUAGGAGUUCCUACUGGACACUGGCCUGUGGCCUCUGCUGCUGGGACUCUGCCUUUCCACAUCCAAUGUAUAAACCUGUCGUUUCAGUGCACUUCCAAAAUAAACCCUAUCCGGUGAUGGCAGGGCUGUUUAAGACCUCUGUGUUGUCUCUCUUGCCAACAACAACCUUUCCUCCUUCUCAAAGCAUCAGAAGAUUUGAAGGUACUUGUCAUCCUCCCUGCAGCUACUGGCCUUUCCCCGCUGUGCGUUCUGAAGACAGCUCCCCUGCACAGAGAAGGGCUAUCUAGAAUGAGAUUAGACUCCAACGUCUCAGUAUGACAGGAUGGAAGAGAGCUACUUUGGUAAGACAGGGCUUCAAGGAUGGAACAUGGAAGAAUGUUCACAAAAGGAGGGAAAUAGAGGAAUGAGAAAGAAAACAGGGAAGAGCUGGAAAAUGAAGUCAGGAAACUGAGCCUCAGGGGGAAAGGCACACACUUCCAAAAAUGUCAUUGAAAUUCCGAUGUGGAGAUAAGAGGUAGACAGAGAUGAGACUGCAGGGACUGUUAAAGAUGAAUUCUAUAAACGUGCCUAGGGUUGCAGUAGCUGUAUUAAACUCCCUGGCCAUGGGGUACAGGUAGGGCUACAAUUGUUCACACUCUCUGCUUUUUUCCCAUCUGUUGCUAGACUCUUCAGAGCGGAGUGAAAAAGCAUCCAUCAACAGAGUGCAAAAGGGGAAAUCUGUCUUCCUUCCGGGCACAAUCACCAGCAAGGCAGACAGAACAAAGCUUGUGCAUAGGCAAAAUUUGAGCAAAAUGAGGGAAAGUAUCUAAAGUUCCAGGAAAGAAGAAGUAACUUUUUUUCCCCAAGACUCUAUCCUUAAGUGUUAAGAAUGUCUUCUGAAAAGAAUAUUUAGAAAGCAUUUGGAAUUUAAAAAGUUAGGUGAAAAUGGACACCUUUGAAUUACAUAGUAUUAUGAGAGAAGUCUAAGAAAAUUAGUAUCGUUUUGAAAAAAAAUCAAUACCGCACCUUAAAUCAGCUGUUGCUUUUUAAACAGAAACUGAAUAUACAGUUUGACAAGGAUGAAUGUUUUAUGAAUUUUUGGAAUGUUGAUAAUUAAAUAAAUCAAGUAAUAUUCCAGGCCUGAUGGUGGAGACCUGUAACCCUAGCUACUUAAUCAGAGGCAGGAGAAUUAAAAGUUCAAUUCCUGCUUUGUUGAAUGAGUGAGAAGACCCUGUCUUUAAAAAUGACAAAGUAAAAGUGGACUGGGGGUAUAGCUAAAGGGUGGGAGCUUGCUUAAUUUGCAUGAACCCCAUCUCUGUCUCCAGGAUCACAUCAAAGAAGACAGAGGUAGUUGUGGUGGUGGAGUAGUAGCAGCAGUAGUAGUAGUAGUAGCAGCAGUAGUGGUAGUAGUAGCAGUAGUAGUAGUAGUGGGUGGGAAUGCAGCGAGGGGAGGAAGAGAAGGAUGGAGAUGAGGGGUAGGGGAUGAUAGAGAAGAGGAGGAAGGGGGAAAAGAAUGAAGAAAUAAGACAAUUACAAAAACGAUUAACACUGUGUAAUAGGAAACACUGAAGUACAUUAUAGGAUGGUGAUUUAAGACAGAAAAUUAUCAAUGAUAAGCAAUGUCUUUUUAAAUUUCCACACUUUACUAAUAUCUCUCUGUUACCCAGGCCUGCUUUGAACUGGUCCUCCCUAUUAAAGUCUCUUGACUACUACCCACAUGCCAACAUCCAUGAGGAAAAUUUACUUUUUGACUAAUUAUAUUCAUUUUAUCUGAAUAAGUAUGACGGUUAUUUGUCUGUUGGUCUGUUUAACUGUCCAUGCACUCUGAGAUCUAAAUUCUAUUGUGCUGCGACCAUGGAUAUUUUCUGAGGUUCCUAUGAUUUAUUUUUCUAGACAAAAAUAUCAAGGUAGGAAAUAUUCUUACACACACACUCACACAUACUACAGAUAUGUAAGGUGCAUAGAUGUCUUGGUCCUAUGUUUUGAGAGAUCCAUUCUUGAUCUGCUUUUAUGACCAGGAACAUUUUAAAUUAUGUUUGGACAAAGUGACUCUUCACUUUGCCCUGAGUUUCACAAGUUCAGUUGCUGGAUUGACUGUGCAUGCUCACUAUGGAUGGCAAGUCAUGCUUUCAAAGUGACUUAAUAUUGACAGAGAAAUGGGUGUGUCAUUUAAAAAUUCAGUAUGUUGAGAAGGAAAGACUGAGGCACGAUUUUAACCAGAGAGUAAGGGGAGUAUAAUAAGCCCAUUUCACUAUGGGUAUCCAAGAUCAAUUCACAGUUCCAGUAAGAAAAUAAUUUCCCAGCUUAUAAUUCUAAAUCAGUUAUAAGUUUCAAGUACUUGCACAGAAUUAAUUUUGACCAUUACUAAUUGGCAAUCAAACAUUUAUUUAUGUGCUGUUUUUCCUGUUGCAUUUCUGAAUAAACCAUACGUUGACUAUGGCACUGUGUGUAAAUGGCAUUGAUCCUUUUACCAUAACCAGUACAUGUUUGUUCUUCAUGUCGUGUGUAAGUGAUGUUCAGCCAGUUUUGUCAGGUUUUGCUAAUAACACAAAGGAAGCUGAGAACCAUGUUUUAUAAACCCCUGUAAAAAGGUUUCACGAAGCUAUUUAUAUUUGUGGGAGACAUGUGGACGUUCAACAAUAAGAUUAUGUAGUGCCAUGGAAUGAAGCCCAGGGCAGGCUGCUACUGUCUGCUUUGAGCCACUAUGUGACUCAGAAAGGAAUGUUUUUUUUCUGAGAAUACAUUAGAGAUUGGCAACUCUGCUGUUGAGAUAUAAAUGUAACGUAGCAUGGAUGGUUAGAGCCGUGGAAAGUAAUGAAGUUAUGGAAAAUAAUGAGGCUUAAAUGCUAAAAGAGUGAAGGGGUAAUGCAUGUGGAGAGAGACACCUUGAGACACAAGCUUUACAGACUAGACAGGGAAGCCAAACAUGUGCCCCCAAUAAAGCCAAUGUAGUGACAGCUAAGUAGGAAAGCCAGCACCCCAGGAAGAUAGGAGGACACAUUUAAAAUAGUCAGUAACCCGUAUUUUCAAAAUCCACAGAGUCUGCAAAGGAAAAUGACUGAAGCACAUGCUUCCUUGGAUGACUUAGUCCUGAGGACAGCCAUACUGAUCGACUAGUGUAGAUAUCGGUGGGGGCAGGAAGUGGAGGGUAUAAAGUUGGGUUAAAUUUUCAGGAUGACAAAUGAUGACAGGAGUGGCGCCGUGUUUCACGAGCCUAUCAGGUACAAUGGAAGUUUCCAGUUUUGAGAAGGAUUUAAGCAUAUUUACAGAUUUAAUGACAAACUUCAGUUCUGAAGUGGUGGGAAGAACGGAACCAAGAAGCUAAAACAACCUGCCUUUUUUCCCCUUAUAUUCUUUUCGGUUCAAUCUCACCUUUUUGUAAUUCUCGAUAAUCAGAAACUGCUAUGUAUCAAUAUUUUUUUACUCUGAAUUAUUCCUUGCACACUCACUUAUACGCUGCUGGACUAAGCUUUGCUUGGUCUAGGACUGUUCUUUUACAUUUGAGAGAAAACCCCUGUAGAAUAGGAAGUUUGUUUUACUUGACUCUUUUGUGCACUGAUGAAUAUAUGUCUGGCAGUCACGACUUUUAAAAUAUAUACUAGAGUUGGGAAGGGACAGCGCUUUAAAUCUCUGCCUUUUUUAGAUGACCAGUCAGAGACGUUGUUCCUACAACAAAGUCUUCAUGAAAAGAUUUUGAAGAAAAUGGAAAACAUUUUGCCUAAAUUUUUCGGUAGCUUACUUCUGUGUUAUCUGAUUAUUACUUAAAGACACCAGUUGUUACUUUGCACUCUUGGACAGCAGUAACUCUUCCAGUCUGUCUAGAAUUUUAUGUAGUCAAAAGAUUACCUUCUGAGUCAGACUAUAUACAGUUAUGUCCUGUGAGAAAAUAGAGACAUCAACGUGAACAAGUCUUGACUUGCUUUGAUCAUAGAGAAUCAGAACUCCUAGUAAAGCUAUGCCGAUAUCCCAGAAUGUUACAAUCCCAACUGUGGGCUGGCAACUAAAUACCUAAGCUUCUGGUAAUAUUGUCAGUUCUUACAUUUGGCAGAAAAUUAAAUAUUUUCUGAUAUGGAAAACUCCCAAAUUUAAGUAAUUUAUUGUCACAUUAGAGGGUUACUUUGUUUUUCUUCUCCUCCCAGUAAAUCAGGUUUAUCCCAGCGUAUUUGUUAUUGCUUUAGGUUCUUGGGAUAAUUAUUAACUCAUAUAGGAUGUGGAAUGAUGACAUCUAUUACAAUAAUGACAUUAAAAAGUAGCCUGAAGGAUACUGUAUCUCCCUGAGUUCCUAGAUAUGACCAUUACACCAUGAUAUGUGUCAGUUACCUGGCAUCCUCACUGCCAUGAAAGUAACAACAACAACAACAACAACAACAACAACAACAACAACAACACAACAACAACAACACAACAACAACACACAAACACACACACACACACAGGAAAUACUAAGUGAUUAAGGUUUUUGUGACAGAUAAUGAUUUUUGUAGACAAGAAUGAGGUAUUACAUAGUGCUGGAAGAUUGCAUCCUAUGAAAAGCAGUUGUUUGAUUUCUUCUAUAUCUUUGAUCAAUUAGCAGUUCUAUUGAUACAUAGAAAUUUCUAACCAUGUCUCUCUCUUUUGUGACCUCUUCCUCCCCGCCACGUGUGUGUGUGUGUGUGUGUGUGUGUGUGUGUGUGUGUGUGUGUAUGAGUGUGAUUUGCCCUCUUUAAAAUGUUACCUUUAAACUUCAAACUUCAAUUUAGGGCUGCUGAGAUGGCCUAGCAUCCAAAAUUCUUGAUAGGAAAAUGUAGUGACCCAUGAGAAAGCUGGUAGUGUGCCCCUUGCCCAACAUUCCUGUGACAAGAAGGGAGCCAGAGACAGGAGAAUUCUUUGAAAUACCCGGGCAAGCUAGACUGGCAUGUGUACUCCAGGAUACAACGAGAUCCUGUCUCAGAAAAAGUACAAGACAGGCAUUGACACAUUGCCAUCAUUGGCUAAUGACCUCUGACCUCCACAUGCAAUGACCACACCCAUACACACACAUGCAUGCAUGUACAUGCACACACAUCAAAAUAAAAUUUAAAUAAACUUUAAUUUGUGUUUCAAAAGUGAUAUCCCUUUGAUGGUAAUUCUAAACUACACAAGAUUAUUAAAUUUCUAAAGCAAAUUUUAUGGAAUUGAUGCCUUUAACAAAUUCAAAUAUUUUGUUAGCUUCCUAUUUGAUUUCUGUGAGCUUUUCUAUACACAUCCUCUCUUUUAUUUACCUGGCCAUGUGACCUAAAAGGAGACGAAAACAAUAAAAGGCAAAUAAAUCAAAUAUUAUUGUGCACACAGGUUUACUGGCCAUUCAAGAAUAAUUCUGCAGCCAAAAACUACAGAUAUUUGCAGGCAGUGACAGUCAUUUUCCAAAACCUAACUGCAACCCAACCAAGCAAAGAGAAACAGCACAAUUAAAGGAUUGUCAAUAACUUAAAAAGCCAAGUGUAAAAAGUUCUUAGAAUCUAGAAAACAGUUAUCAGUCUCAUCAAAUUCUUAGGUUUUUUUUUUCUUUUUUUUUUUUUUUUUUGCUGUUAUUCCAAGCUGUGCAGGAGCCACAGUGUUCUUUUAUAACUUCAAUAUUGCUGGACUCUUAACCCCAAAGCUCUCAUCUUGAUGACCUUGAUUAUACUUAGUACAAUUCUUUUCUAUUUUUAAAUAAGAUUUGUGGUGAUUUUUAAGCCACCAGAGAUAAACUUUAUUGCCAAAGAAGCAAACUUUAGUGGCUUUCUUCUGCCCAGUUCACUUCUUCAAGUGUAGAGCUAAUUCAAUACAACAUAUCAGUAAAUAGAAUUUACUGGGGCUUCCCUGUGGAUAAAAAGGCAGCUCGAACUGUACAUAUUUCCAAAGGACCCUGUUCCCAAGGCUCUGGGUCUCUCCCACUUCCACCGAGGUGUACCAGUAGUCUCUCUGCACUUCCCUGUGUCGGUAGUGCAUAGCAAUAAAGUCCAACCGGCAAACACACACACUAGUGGUGCUUACCUUCCAUUUGCCGGUGGAAUUCCUUGACAAAUAUAAUGUUUUUACCACUCUGAGUGUACUAUGAUGAUAUGAGGGAAUUUAGUCAUCCUGUGUUUUAUUUAGCAGGGUCAUGUGUCUGCUUGGAAAUCGUCAUGAUUAACCUACCACUCUGCUUCUCCUUCCCAUCCUUUCUUAGAGUUCAACACAGUUAACCCAAUGACACUAUGUGCUGUGCAAUAUUCUACGUAUUCAACUACAACAACAUACAACAAUCAAAAAUAAAUCCUAGUUAAUCAUAUUCUUUUAUGGAUUAUACACUGCAACAAAAUUUAACUGCAUAGUUGAGGUGGAUGCUAUCUUUUCAUUUAUAGAUUAAGUAAUUUUAAUUACUUAAUUUAAGGACAAAAAUAUCAAAAAUGCUCAGCAAAAUUUCUAUGGAUGCCCCAUGACUUAGAAUUCCAGGUUUCAUUUUUUACAUUACACUAUUUAAAAAGUUAAACUUUAACUACCUUGGUUGUAGUAAUUAUGCUGGUAGCAUACAGUCCAUUUGUCCUUAUGUAGAAAGCCUGUAUGCAUGGAGAUAUUAACCCAAAGAAGAUCACAUUAUGCAUAAUUGUUCCACAGUCUUCUGUGUUCACCUACCAAUCGCCGCAUUUCUUUUUGAUGUUAUUUUCUUUCCUCAUUUCAAAGAAUCUAGAUAAUGAAAGUGAAUCCAAAGAUUUGCAUCACAUUGGAUUUUGGUUUCUUGUAGGGUUUAGUAUGAGAAGCUUAUGUCAUAUAUGCCAUGACUUAUGUCAAUAUGCCUUCAGACUUAAUUUCCAUGAAUUGAUUAGUUUUAUUUUUCCUUCUCUGAACAUGACUUUCACUAAAUUACAUGUAUUAUAUAAUACACAAUGACUUACUUUUACAUUUGUUGAUUAUGCAACUUUUAUAGAUUGUAAAUACAAAUAUUAUUCCAAACAAUAGCUUCCAAGUUCAAGUUAUUGUUUAACAUUUAUUUCAAUUGUGCUUAAUAUAAAUUUCUUACAGCAUUCUCCAAAGGACAAAUGUAAUAUAAAAUGCUAUAUUCUAAAGUGAAUUAAAUAAUAACUUUUAAUUUAAUGGUUAUUUAAUCAACACGUGUUUGAACUAAUUAGUUUCAAUGAUAUUUAUUUAAAAUUAGUUACAGAGAAAUACAAGGGACAGAUGUUUUGUGGAGACUUCCCAUUUUACAAUUUCUGGCCUAAUUAGUAAAUAUUUUCUUCAUAUUUGAAUAUAAAUAUAUUUUUGUGUACUAGCCAUAUAAUUUGUAAAUGACCAAUAAUUUUAAAGUUAACAUUAUAUUACAGGUCUUUUAGUUUUAAUGCAGUCUUGGAAAUUCUCUUUGUGUAUUCUUGUCUACAUGAUUGUACAUGCGACAUGAACAGCACAUAUGGCCCUUGUGUCCCUAGCUCCCCUGUUGCCAUUAAUGUUGCGUUCCUUUUCCUUUGCUUUUUUUUUAUAAUUUUUUCUUUCCCUGCUUAUUGACUAUAUUUCCGUUCUUCAGGGCUGUUUUUGGCCCUUUCAGAUGUCAUGUGAUGCACACUGAUGACUUUAAUUGUAGCCUAACCUAGCAUGCUACCUUCUGCAUCUCUAAGUCAGUCAUCCAUGACGGUUGCCGACAGGCUAUGGUGUGCUCUUCAGAACCUUCUAAGAGAACUCUCAGGCUCAAUAUACACAAGUAUGUAUGACUUCUGAGCUAGCUCUCCACAGCUUGUCCUCCCUGAGUCUGUACUCCAACUUCAAUCCUCUCCCAGGUUCUAAACCUGGGAAUAAUAAAGGUGACCAUAGCAACUGCUUGAUGGUAACUAUCCUUUUUCAUCACCACAGCUGCCCCUGUUGGAGUUUGUGAUAGAUCUCUGAAUAUAGAACUUUUAACUAAGAUGUUUUCGAAAACACUGUUGUCCUUUUGGGGUUUCCGGUUUCCUAGGCAUGCCACACAACACACAAGAUGCUUCAUGAUUUAUGUCUUCUCAUGACACUUAGGUGCCAAAUCUUCAUGUGCAGUCCUUUUAGUCAGCAUGUCUAGUCUGUUUAACCAUAGAAUUACGGUUACAUUUUUGUCUUGGGGAUAUUGCCAUCCUUAUGAAACAAGUAAUUUUUCCUAUCCAAUACUUAUCAGCUGUACUCUGCUUUGACAGUUGUCUAGAUGUCAUAUCCUGGAGACCUAGACCUUUAUUUUGCUAAGUGAUAACGUUGAGCAUUUGUCUUGCAUUAGGUAUCUGAUGCCAAUCUGUUGACUAGAUGCAUGGUAUUGGCUGCUGCACAAGCCAUAUUAUUAGGCUUUCACAGUUUUCAAAAUCAGACACCCAUCUUGUUUGUGGUUGAACUUACAGUGGACACUCAGGAUCUCAGGAAGACUAUCACCUAUCAUAUUAAAAGUGGAUACAUUCAUUAAUUCUGGUAUCGUCGGCUGGAAGCUCAUGUAUAGAUAAUGUGGAACAUCUCUCCCCUCAGUAACUUAAAAUCAUGGACUCUAUCUUUAAAUCACAUUGAAUAUGUGAUUUAUUAGAAACCAAAGUAUUAACAAACAUAUAAAUCUAUGUCUAAAAUAUAGUUCUAACUUUAAGGGAUAGGUCCUUCCAUGGGUUUAAUAUCUAAUUGAUUUUUUACUUGGGAUGGAUAAUGAUAUACACGAUAUUCUUUUAAAAGUUAUGUGUAGGUAGAUUUAAAAUUAACCUUUGUGUGUGUGUGUGUGUGUGUGUGUGUGUGUGUGUGUGUGUGUAUAAGUUCUGUGUUCUAUAACAAAAUUAGAUGAGCUAACAUAGACCUAAUAAUAGAAGAUAUUUAAACAUGAAAGACCAUUAAUAUGUUGCCUUUAAGGAUUAUCAACUUCAAUGUUUUCAUUUGCAUUGUAAAGGUAGUUUUUCUCAUUUUAUGCUCCUAUUCUUUCUAAAGAAUACAAAAGACAUAUCCUGUUGAGGCAAGCAUAUCUAGAAAGCAUUCCAGAGUGGCCUGGUUUUACUUGGAACACUGACUUAUGGAAGCUAUUCAGUUUCAGCAAUGUUUAUGAUUACUAGUGGUUUCUAGGUGGCCCUGUAAAUACAGUUUUGCAAGUGCCUUGGCAGACAGAAGGUUGUGUUGCAAAAAUUGCAUCUAUAAAACAUGAUUUAUAAACUACUUUCACAGUUGCUUUGAUGGUGAUUUUGAGGUUCAUGUUGGAAAUUAUAAAUAAAAAUAAUCUCUCAAUCUAAAUUGUGGAUGAGAAGUUGGUAAUUUUCAAGCUACAUUAAUUGAUUAAUAGAUAUAGGUUCUAAUUAAUCUGUUUAUAUUCCCUCCAUUGCCCAAUAUACUUUAAAUACUUUGAAAAUAUCUCAUGCCACUCAUACUGCAGUCACCCUGUCUGGGUAACAUGACCAGAGAAAAACUUUUCUAAAACUGGAGAUAUAUAUUGUGAUUAUCAUAAUGAAUGAAAAGCGGUAUGAGUCUCUGUGCGUAUCAACCAUUAAUAUAAAUACUAAAAUUAUCUUGCCAUGCUGUGGGCUCGUUUCUUAAUGACAUUUCUUCAAGAUUCCCUUAUAAAUGUUUGGAUCUAUUAAAUACUCAGGCAUCUAUUUUUCAGAAUGUUUUUUGAGGGUCAAAGAUGGCUCUGUGAAUGAAGGUGCUUGCUGACAAAUUUGACAGCCCAAAUUCAAUCCCUGUGACGCCCAUAGUAAGCACAGAGAAACAAGUCUCACAAACUGUCCUCUGACCUACACAUGCAUACCACUCAUGGCAUGCACACACAUUCAUGUAAGUAAAUAUAAUACAUACUUAAAUUAAAUUUAAUAUAUAAAUAUAAGUAAGUGUAAUAAAAUUUAAACCAGGUGUUUAAAAAACUUCUCAUAAGGUAGCUUUUGGAAUUUCAGCAUGCUAUUUUUAAAAUUCUUGUGAUUUAAUAAUGGGCUUCAUUCUUGAAAAACAAUAAAUAAAGCAGAGCCAGUAAUUCUCCAAAAAUUGGUGAGUUCUAGUUGGAGAAGUCACAAGUCCAAAUGAGCCCAGCAGCGAGUUAGGUGGGAUGAAGGGAGGCUUCAGCCUGCUGGGGACUACAUAGCUACAGAACUCAGGGCUGGGCUGAGGCAGGCUGGAUGCCAACAGACAUCACUAGGCUUUCUAGUCUUGCAGGUGAAGUGAGAGUUUGCAUAGUUUACUGGAAUUUCCCAUGUUUAAAUGAUGCCUCUGUUUUUCUGAGUUCUUAACUUUAAAAUCUUUGCUUUAUAAUAAUUCCCUUCCCUAACGUAAGCCUUAUUCUAACCCUUCAUAAAUUAGAAUUCUCUAUCCCAAGAAUCUUCCUGACUAAUUUAUAUCUAGUGUAAUGCAAAGAGUGAGUGCGGUGAAAAAUGCCAUGUGGCCUUCCUCUACACACAGUUUCCCCUUGGUACUCUGCCAUGCUUACCCCACCAUAGCAUUUGUCUGCAUUUGACACAUCACGGUUUACUUGGGUAUUUUCUUUUCUUGCCACUAUAAUAUUAAUAGCAUGAGACUUUUUAGUUCCCACUGAUGUAGCGUCAAUUUCUAGAAACCAAAUACACUCUUGACAUUUAGUCAUGCAAAUGGGUGUUCUACAGGUAACCAGUUACAGAGAGGAAAUGGCUGAAGAAUUACGCAUAUUUAACCUUGUCAAGAAAAAAGUAUAAUAAUAAUGAAACCCAGUUUGUUUGUUUUGUCUACAAGAAGUGAUUCUGUGUGUAUCUCCUUAAUUCUGUUCUCAGACAUAUCCUAUUUUUGAAAGCCAGCCAUACUGUGAUUAAUUCUACCUCCUCAAAUCAGGAAGUGACACAAAUAUCCUAUCACUUGUGAGCACACCCCAGGACAUGAGAGGUGUUAGAAAUUGGCCAAAGGAAGAAAUCUGUAGUAUUUGAAAUAGCUUAUCACACAGAGAGUAUUCAGUCCACAUUAGAUUUUACUCUUCUGAAAUAAUGUAUCAUAAACACUUACAGGCAUUUAUUUUGUUUUGUAAUCAUGACUGUUUUUGAACCUAUAGCUCAAUAUGUUUUAAGUUAUUUCUUAAAUUUCAUUCGGUAUUACAAUGCUCUAUUACAAUCUAUCUGAUGUCCACCCCUGAGAUGCUAGACUCUCUCUUGUAUCCCCCAAGUCUCUUACCCUCUUCACCACAUUUUCCAUUUGCUUUGUCUGUCUUCCAUUCUACUGCCUACUAAUGUUUCUAUUACAUUAUUAAUUUGUUUGCUUUUAGUGUGUGUAUGUUCACGUGUGUGCAUUUUUAUUGACUGAGCAUUCAUUUUAUAAAUGUAAACUCCAUUUGUGGUAAAUCGUGAAGUGUUUGUGGAUGUGAUUCUCUGCUUAAUUUCUCAUGCCUUUUGUUACCCUGUGGUCUGAUAGUGAUUAUAACUACAACGUGUGCUAGAUAUGCAUCUUAAACUUAGUUUGUAAAAAAAAUUGGAGUUCUAGUGUGAAGGAUACCUUCCUCUGGAGGGGGCAGUUCAUUUACUUUUAUCUAAGUAACUUGUAGUACUUCCAGUUGGGGACCAUCUUAACACGAGUUUUUUGACUUUAUAUUUCACAGAUCAUCCACUUAUGAAAACUAAGGUAAAAUUCUAAGGAAGGAUUGGUUCAUUGUUAUAACUUACUAUGAAGAGACCAAAUGUUAUUCUCUCAGGUUAAAACAGUGAAUGUUUGGUGUAUUCUUCUUUUGUAGGAACCAGACUUUAACUCUAGCUUUAUAGCCCCAUGACAUCAAAAAGUAUUGCGCUCAAGGGCUGGGGAUUUAGCUCAGUGGUAGAGCACUUACCUAGGAAGCACAAGGCCCCGGGUUCGGUCCCCAGCUCCGAAAAAAAGAACCAAAAAAAAAAAAAAAAAGUAUUGCGCUCAUCCUCAGAGACUGUGUUAGCAUUGGGCCUACCUGCCUGAGAUCUUGUUUUCUCUGAUAAUUAUGUUUUCAUUUGCUCAGAGGUACAUUCAUGAAUUUUCCUUUGUUUCUUUAUUUUCACUCAAUUAGAAGUUUGUUAUGAAUUCCUAGUGUUACACCAAGACAUACUGAUUUAUAUUUUGAGAGUUUCCUUAAGAUCUUAUCAUUUUCCUCUCAUUUGCAAUGUGCAUUUGAUUAUAGACUUUUAUGUUGCCACUGUUUUUCCUUAGGUUUUCUUAAGUCAUUGGCUGUGGUUUUCUAGCACACACUUAAUAUUAUAGAGAUGUCUAUUCCAUAGUGGGAUUUGGAGGAGGAAGAGCAGGAGAACACAGGACCUCAUGAAACUGGGGGUCAGGAUAUAACUUAUAUCCCUAACUGGACAAAGCAAUACAAAACACAAGUCUAAGUUCAACCGGGUAGAUAAUGAACUCAGACUAGGAGUAAAGAAGUCACAGUGUUUCCGUGACUUUUCAUACUGAUGGAUGUUUUCUUCUUAUUUCUGAAGAAACUGAUAUGUGGAGACAGUAAAUAAUCCACUAAAAGCACUAAAGACAAGGUUAUUUUACUGUGUGAACUCAGGCUAUGCUCUGAGCUCCUACCUAUACUUUCUCAGUGAGGAUGCUAAUUAGGCAGAAGAAGAAAAAAGAAGAAAGGCAAAAAAUAGCAACAUAGAUUUGAAGCAACUACAUAAGGACAACAGGGUGAUUGAGAGAAAGAGAGAAUGAAAGGAAGAGAGAAUGAAAGGAAGAAAAAUUUUUCUGCAAAAGACGAUACUGACAGUCUCUUUGUAAAAUGGGAUAAGAGUGACACAUGGCCUGUUGGUAUUUGAAAGAGAAAAGAUAUGCUGUCAAAGAUGGUUCACUUAUAGGAGGCGGCAUCUAUGAGAACCUCUCAUCUCAGUAACUGAAAGAGAUCCACAGUAUCAAAUAAAAUAAAAUAAUAAAAUAAAAUAAAAUCAGUUACUACUCAAGUGGAGAUGCUCUUGGUGGUGUGUUGUAAAGCCGGAGAAAGCGCUUUUGCAAAUUGUACAACGUACAAUAUUAACUUCUACCAUUUAUAUUUGAUGAAUUAAGUUGGUUUAUGUUGGGAAGUUGCUGUGGGCAUGUAUCAUGGUUGGUCCCUGGAAAAGUGCCUUCAGAUCACUUCAAAUUUCCUAACAAAGUAGGAAAUCCCAGUAGAGACCAACAGCCAGAGGAUGGGACGGGUUAGAGGCAGUUCUGGGAACUGCCAUCUAGGAGCAUGGGUAAAUGAUUCAUCAUGCACAAGGAAUGCUGAGUGGGUGUAAAGAAGCCUUUCUAGCAAUGUCACCUCCAGCCUACUCAGCACUCUAGAGCUUGUGAAAAACUCACUCGUCUGAGGUCCUGCCUGCCUGCUCCCUGCUCCCUGCCUCUGCUUCUGAAGACUCCAGUAGUUACUGUCCCCUUUACCAAUUAAACUUCACUGAUUGCACCUUGGAACCGAUCUCUAUUUUUGCCUCUCUUUGCCCUGAAUGUGACUGUGAGAAAGAAUAUGUAGCAUACUUCCGUUCUAAUAUGUUGUGUUCUGCACUCUCUUCUUCUCUAGUAGUUUGUACUUCAUAAAUUAGUUCAUUAUUGCACUAAUAAUUAAUUUUGAUGGCGGAAGCUAAGUUCAAAUUUAUAGGAAAGUUAAGCUUUGUUUAAAAACAAGCCCACUUGUUUCUGAACCAAGCUUGUAGAUUAAGGUUAUAGAAACACGAUUACAACUAGUGCAACUUUUGCAUUAAUGAAGUAAUGUCUUGACCAUGAAACAUUUUAUCCAGAAAUGUUUUAUGAAUGAAUAAGAGUGUGGGUGUUUAUGGAGGUGAUGGGAAAUUCCCUCUUAGUCAUUUCUGUUAGUAUGUAGACAGAAAGGAAAAUCAAAGACUAGAGCCGGGGGGAGGUUUUCUGUUUUUAGGUCUAUCAGCUCAGCAAAAACACUCUAUAUUUGUGCCAGGACUUUCUAUAUCACAUGACAAUGAUGCAUUCGAGAAUUUUCCAGCAAGGUGGAUGGAUAUGUCCACUGACAGAUGUACUUUCAGUCUUAGAGAAUUAGAAUGAGUUAGAAUAAUGCUUUUUUCAAUGCUCUAAAUCAAACUAAGUUUGAUUUUUUAAAAUACCUUCUUGAUCAAGUUUUGCUUUAGGCUUACACUAACCUUAUCAAACAUCGUUCUCUUUUCCUGUGUGCUAAAUGAAGUGAGCUUUCCUUUGAAGUCUGAACUUUCCUCUACCACUCUGCUAUUAAAUGAUAGCUUUUCCCAGGUUUUCUUUUAUUGUUAAUUUAUUGUGCAACAAUUUGAUUCUUAAAACAUAUUUAAAUAGAUUUUCAAAUGUAUAAACAGAAAAGGAAGACAACUUGUGUCAAGACAAUACCUCACGGAGAACUUGAAAGAGAAAGGAAUUCCCUGUUGAUUUCAGUCACCUCCUCUGUUUGUGGCAAUGUUGAGUCACAGUUGAACAGGCUCCAUCGUAUCUGUGUCACUACCUUCUCCAUGGUUGUCCUCAUUGCCUGAUGGUAUCGCAUACUGAAAAAGAAAAAAAGAUGUUUGUAUAGUAGAGGGAAUUAUUUCAUAUGGCUUUUAUUUUAUUUAAAUUUGUGUAUGGCUAAUGCAAAAUAAUAUUUUAUUCAACCACCAGAGGGAGCCUCCAAAUCUGUGGAUUCCCCCAAAAAGAAAUAUGACUGAAGUUGUAAAUUCAUAUAUUUUAUGUUGCACAAUUAAAAACUCAGGCCAAUCCA